rnacentral:rRNA from 1 species
UACGUAGGGUGCAAGCGUUGUCCGGAAUUAUUGGGCGUAAAGAGCUCGUAGGCGGUUUGUCGCGUCGAAUGUGAAAACCCGGGGCUCAACCCCGGGCCUGCAUUCGAUACGGGCAGACUAGAGUUCGGUAGGGGAGUCUGGAAUUCCUGGUGUAGCGGUGGAAUGCGCAGAUAUCAGGAGGAACACCGAUGGCGAAGGCAGGUCUCUGGGCCACUACUGACGCUGAGAAGCGAAAGCAUGGGGAGCGAACAGG